rnacentral:lncRNA from 1 species
GACAAACCCGCCUUUUCAUACGGGCAGGUACUCCACUGAUCCAUAUGGAGCUUCAGGAUCCAGACCUCCGCCCCAAUUUGAUGCAGGACGAUACUCCGACGCCUCCUACGCUUUCACGAAUGACUACUACCAAGAGGCCGGUGCUUUCUUCACCCGUACCGACAACACUCUCCUCGACAUCCAGAACACGCAAGCAGAACAUGGACGACUCCUGGAAGAGCAACAAAAAUGGAACCAGGACCAUGCCACU